GAGUGCAGAAGAGGAGAGCGGAAUUCCACGUGUAGCGGUGAAAUGCGUAGAGAUGUGGAGGAACACCAGUGGCGAAGGCGGCUCUCUGGUCUGUAACUGACGCUGAGGCGCGAAAGCGUGGGGAGCGAACAGGAUUAGAUACCCUGGUAGUCCACGCCGUAAACGAUGAGUGCUAAGUGUUAGAGGGUUUCCGCCCUUUAGUGCUGCAGCAAACGCAUUAAGCACUCCGCCUGGGGAGUACGGCCGCAAGGCUGAAACUCAAAGGAAUUGACGGGGGCCCGCACAAGCGGUGGAGCAUGUGGUUUAAUUCGAAGCAACGCGAAGAACCUUACCAGGUCUUGACAUCCUCUGACAACCCUAGAGAUAGGGCGUUCCCCUUCGGGGGACAGAGUGACAGGUGGUGCAUGGUUGUCGUCAGCUCGUGUCGUGAGAUGUUGGGUUAAGUCCCGCAACGAGCGCAACCCUUGAUCUUAGUUGCCAGCAUUCAGUUGGGCACUCUAAGGUGACUGCCGGUGACAAACCGGAGGAAGGUGGGGAUGACGUCAAAUCAUCAUGCCCCUUAUGACCUGGGCUACACACGUGCUACAAUGGAUGGAACAAAGGGUCGCGAAGCCGCGAGGUCGAGCCAAUCCCAUAAAUCCAUUCUCAGUUCGGAUUGCAGGCUGCAACUCGCCUGCAUGAAGCCGGAAUC
rnacentral:rRNA from 1 species